GGUUAAGUGACUAAGCGUACACGGUGGAUGCCUUGGCAGUCAGAGGCGAUGAAAGACGUAGUAACUUGCGAUAAGCCCAGAUUAGGUAGUAACAACCAUUUGAGUCUGGGAUUUCUGAAUGGGGAAACCCACGUGCAUAAGCACGUAUCCUUACCUGAAUACAUAGGGUAAGGAGGCGAACCGGGGGAACUGAAACAUCUAAGUACCCCGAGGAAAAGAAAUCAACCGAGAUUCCGAAAGUAGCGGCGAGCGAAAUUGGACUAGCCCUUAAGCUUUACACGCGUUAGACGAACGGUCUGGAAAGUCCGACGAUACAGGGUGAUAGUCCCGUAGUUGACGACGUGUGUUCAGUGAAAUCGAGUAGGGCGGGACACGUGAUAUCCUGUCUGAAUAUGGGGGGACCAUCCUCCAAGGCUAAAUACUACUGACUGACCGAUAGUGAACCAGUACCGUGAGGGAAAGGCGAAAAGAACCCCUGUGAGGGGAGUGAAAUAGAACCUGAAACCGUGUACGUACAAGCAGUAGGAGCAGGCUUUGUCCUGUGACUGCGUACCUUUUGUAUAAUGGGUCAGCGACUUAUAUUCAGUGGCAAGGUUAACCAUCUAGGGGAGCCGUAGGGAAACCGAGUCUUAACUGGGCGUUCAGUCUCUGGAUAUAGACCCGAAACCAGGUGAUCUAGCCAUGGGCAGGUUGAAGGUUGAGUAACAUCAACUGGAGGACCGAACCGACUAAUGUUGAAAAAUUAGCGGAUGACUUGUGGCUAGGGGUGAAAGGCCAAUCAAACCUGGAGAUAGCUGGUUCUCCCCGAAAGCUAUUUAGGUAGCGCCUCGGACGAAUACUACUGGGGGUAGAGCACUGUUAAGGCUAGGGGGUCAUCCCGACUUACCAACCCUUUGCAAACUCCGAAUACCAGUAAGUACUAUCCGGGAGACACACGGCGGGUGCUAACGUCCGUCGUGGAGAGGGAAACAACCCAGACCGCCAGCUAAGGUCCCAAAUUACUACUAAGUGGGAAACGAUGUGGGAAGGCUCAGACAGCCAGGAUGUUGGCUUAGAAGCAGCCAUCAUUUAAAGAAAGCGUAAUAGCUCACUGGUCGAGUCGGCCUGCGCGGAAGAUGUAACGGGGCUAAGUAGUAAACCGAAGCUGCGGCAAUAUACUUUUGUAUAUUGGGUAGGGGAGCGUUCUGUAAGCGGUUGAAGGUGUGUGGUAACGCAUGCUGGACGUAUCAGAAGUGCGAAUGCUGACAUGAGUAACGAUAAAGGGGGUGAAAAACCUCCUCGCCGGAAGACCAAGGGUUCCUGUCCAACGUUAAUCGGGGCAGGGUAAGUCGACCCCUAAGGCGAGGCCGAAAGGCGUAGUCGAUGGGAAACGGGUUAAUAUUCCCGUACUUCUUACAAUUGCGAUGGGGGGACGGAGAAGGCUAGGUGGGCCUGGCGACGGUUGUCCAGGUUCAAGUGCGUAGGCUUAAGAGUUAGGUAAAUCCGGCUCUUUUUAAGGCUGAGACACGACGUCGAGCACCUACGGGUGUGAAGUCAUUGAUGCCAUGCUUCCAGGAAAAGCCUCUAAGCUUCAGAUUGUAAGGAAUCGUACCCCAAACCGACACAGGUGGUCGGGUAGAGAAUACCAAGGCGCUUGAGAGAACUCGGGUGAAGGAACUAGGCAAAAUGGUACCGUAACUUCGGGAGAAGGUACGCUCUCGACGGUGAAGUCCCUCGCGGAUGGAGCUGACUGAGAGUCGCAGAUACCAGGUGGCUGCAACUGUUUAUUAAAAACACAGCACUGUGCAAAAUCGUAAGAUGACGUAUACGGUGUGACGCCUGCCCGGUGCCGGAAGGUUAAUUGAUGGGGUUAGACUUCGGUCGAAGCUCUUGAUCGAAGCCCCGGUAAACGGCGGCCGUAACUAUAACGGUCCUAAGGUAGCGAAAUUCCUUGUCGGGUAAGUUCCGACCUGCACGAAUGGCGUAAUGAUGGCCACGCUGUCUCCACCCGAGACUCAGUGAAAUUGAAAUCGCUGUGAAGAUGCAGUGUACCCGCGGCUAGACGGAAAGACCCCGUGAACCUUUACUACAGCUUGGCACUGAACAUUGACCCUACAUGUGUAGGAUAGGUGGGAGGCUUUGAAGCACGUACGCCAGUAUGUGUGGAGCCGUCCUUGAAAUACCACCCUUGUAGUGUUGAUGUUCUAACGUCGACCCCUUAUCGGGGUUGCGGACAGUGCCUGGUGGGUAGUUUGACUGGGGCGGUCUCCUCCCAAAGAGUAACGGAGGAGCACGAAGGUGGGCUAAUCACGGUUGGACAUCGUGAGGUUAGUGCAAUGGCAUAAGCCCGCUUGACUGCGAGAAUGACAAUUCGAGCAGGUGCGAAAGCAGGUCAUAGUGAUCCGGUGGUUCUGAAUGGAAGGGCCAUCGCUCAACGGAUAAAAGGUACUCCGGGGAUAACAGGCUGAUACCGCCCAAGAGUUCAUAUCGACGGCGGUGUUUGGCACCUCGAUGUCGGCUCAUCACAUCCUGGGGCUGAAGUCGGUCCCAAGGGUAUGGCUGUUCGCCAUUUAAAGUGGUACGCGAGCUGGGUUUAGAACGUCGUGAGACAGUUCGGUCCCUAUCUGCCGUGGGCGUUGGAAGAUUGAAGGGGGCUGCUCCUAGUACGAGAGGACCGGAGUGGACGAACCUCUGGUGUUCGGGUUGUGUCGCCAGACGCAUUGCCCGGUAGCUAAGUUCGGAAUCGAUAACCGCUGAAAGCAUCUAAGCGGGAAGCGAGCCCUGAGAUGAGUCUUCCCUGAUACUUUAAGUAUCCUAAAGGGUUGUCGGAGACUACGACGUUGAUAGGUCAGGUGUGUAAGUGCUGUGAGGCAUUGAGCUAACUGAUACUAAUUGCCCGUGAGGCUUAACCAU
rnacentral:rRNA from 1 species